rnacentral:rRNA from 1 species
GCCCUGGCUGGGCGGUCCUGCCUUUCGGUUGGUACUGCUUUGGCUGGGGUUCACCUUCUGGUGAGACGGCAUGCUCUUAAUUGGGUGUGUCGGGGAACCAGGACUUUUACUUUGAAAAAAUUAGAGUGUUUAAAGCAGGCUUACGCUUGAAUACAUUAGCAUGGAAUAAUAGAAUAGGACUUUGGUUCUAUUUUGUUGGUUUCUAGGACCGAAGUA